CUUGCCUACUACACAUUCACUCUCUAAAACUAAAUUCAAAUAAGAAAAAGAGUGAAAAUUUGAAGGAGAUGAGAAAUCAAAGAAGAGAGAGAAAUUACAUUGUUCGAGUUUCAAAAGGUUUAUGAUAUAAUUUCAUCUUUGGUAUCUCUCUCUUCUUCUAUAAUUUGAUUUAAAGAGAAAAAAUGAGAUGAUAUAUAAAUGGAUAAUACUUAUAAAAAAAAGUAAAAGGAGGGGAGAUGGGCUGGUUUUUAGAGAGAGAAGUCUGGG
rnacentral:lncRNA from 1 species